GCCCUUAUCGUCUAGUGGCUUAGGACAGUUCUUUUUCACAGAACAGGCAGGGAUUCAAUUUCCCUUGAGGGUA
rnacentral:tRNA from 1 species